rnacentral:rRNA from 1 species
GUGCAUGGCAGACGGGUGAGUAACGCGUGGGGAACCUACCUCUUUGUGGGGAAUAACGUUCCGAAAGGAAUGGUAAUACCGCAUGAGACCAUGGGCUGGGAUGCUUAUGGUGAAACCCGGGGACCGUAAGGCCUGGGGCAAGGAGAGGGUCCUGCGUCUGAUUAGCUAGUUGGCGGGGUAACGGCCCACCAAGGCGUCGAUCAGUAGCCGGCCUGAGAGGGUGAUCGGCCACACUGGAACUGAGACACGGUCCAGACUCCUACGGGAGGCAGCAGUGGGGAAUUUUGCGCAAUGGGCGAAAGCCUGACGCAGCAACGCCGCGUGGGUGAUGAAGGUCUUCGGAUCGUAAAACCCUGUCGUCAGGGACGAAGGUUGCAUGUCUAAUAGAUGUGUAACUUGACGGUACCUGGAGAGGAAGCCCCGGCUAACUCUGUGCCAGCAGCCGCGGUAAUACAGAGGGGGCAAGCGUUAUUCGGAAUUAUUGGGCGUAAAGGGCGCGUAGGCGGUGUCUUAAGUGAGAUGUGUAAUCCCCGAGCUUAACUUGGGAACUGCAUCUCAGACUGGGGCGCUAGAGUGCUGGAGAGGGUGGUAGAAUUCCACGUGUAGCGGUGAAAUGCGUAGAGAUGUGGAGGAAUACCAGUGGCGAAGGCGGCCACCUGGACAGUAACUGACGCUGAGGCGCGAAAGUGUGGGGAGCAAACAGGAUUAGAUACCCUGGUAGUCCACGCUGUAAACGAUGAACACUUG